rfam:Myotis lucifugus cont2.32465, whole genome shotgun sequence.
GGCAGUUCUCGGGUGAUGCACCCCGGAGUCAGGCUCCCUCCUCUCUGGUUCCGGGUGCGUCACCCUAGAACUGCA